rfam:Ictidomys tridecemlineatus contig063304, whole genome shotgun sequence.
GGGGCUGUGGCUCAACGGUAGAGCACUCUUCUAGCAUGUGUGAGGCCCUGGGUUCGAUCCUCAGCACCA